rnacentral:rRNA from 1 species
AGGAUAAACGCUGGCGGCGUGCCUAAUGCAUGCAAGUCGAACGGGAGUGCCUUUGGCAUCGACCGUGGCGGACGGGUGAGGAACACGUAGCUAACCUGCCCAGGUAUGGGGGAUAUGCGCUGGAAACGGCGUGCAAUACCGCAUACGUUCGGGUCACGGGAGUGACUUGAGGAAAGCCCUUCGGGGUGUACCUGGAGGGGCUGCGUCCGAUUAGCUAGUUGGAGUGGUAAGAGCACCCCAAGGUGAUGAUCGGUAGCUGGUCUGAGACGGGCGAGUCGACGCA